rnacentral:rRNA from 1 species
UACGUAGGGCGCAAGCGUUGUCCGGAAUCAUUGGGCGUAAAGAGCUCGUAGGCGGCCUGUUGCGUCCGCUGUGAAAUCCCGGGGCUUAACCCCGGGCGUGCAGUGGAUACGGGCUGGCUGGAGGCAGGCAGGGGAGAACGGAAUUCCCGGUGUAGCGGUGAAAUGCGCAGAUAUCGGGAGGAACACCGGUGGCGAAGGCGGUUCUCUGGGCCUGUACUGACGCUGAGGCACGAAAGCGUGGGGAGCAAACAGG